GACGAACGCUGGCGGCGUGCCUAAUACAUGCCAGUUGAGCGAUGAAGAUUGGUGCUUGCACCAAUUUGAAGAGCAGCGAACGGGUGAGUAACGCGUGGGGAAUCUGCCUUUGAGCGGGGGACAACAUUUGGAAACGAAUGCUAAUACCGCAUAACAACUUUAAACAUAAGUUUUAAGUUUGAAAGAUGCAAUUGCAUCACUCAAAGAUGAUCCCGCGUUGUAUUAGCUAGUUGGUGAGGUAAAGGCUCACCAAGGCGAUGAUACAUAGCCGACCUGAGAGGGUGAUCGGCAACAUUGGGACUGAGACACGGCCCAAACUCCUACGGGAGGCAGCAGUAGGGAAUCUUCGGCAAUGGACGAAAGUCUGACCGAGCAACGCCGCGUGAGUGAAGAAGGUUUUCGGAUCGUAAAACUCUGUUGGUAGAGAAGAACGUUGGUGAGAGUGGAAAGCUCAUCAAGUGACGGUAACUACCCAGAAAGGGACGGCUAACUACGUG
rnacentral:rRNA from 1 species